CGGAAGAUCAAGUCAGCGGUAAAAUUGAGAGGCUCAACCUCUUCGAGCCGUUGAAACUGGUUUUCUUGAGUGAGCGAGAAGUAUGCGGAAUGCGUGGUGUAGCGGUGAAAUGCAUAGAUAUCACGCAGAACUCCGAUUGCGAAGGCAGCAUACCGGCGCUCAACUGACGCUCAUGCACGAAAGUGUGGGUAUCGAACAGGAUUAGAUACCCUGGUAGUCCACACAGUAAACGAUGAAUACUAAUUGUUCGGGGAGAAUGAUCCCUGAGUGAUACAGCGAAAGCGUUAAGUAUUCCACCUGGGGAGUACGCCGGCAACGGUGAAACUCAAAGGAAUUGACGGGGGCCCGCACAAGCGGAGGAACAUGUGGUUUAAUUCGAUGAUACGCGAGGAACCUUACCCGGGCUCAAACGACACAGGAAUACUUUUGAAAGGAGGUAGCUCUACGGAGUCUGUGUCGAGGUGCUGCAUGGUUGUCGUCAGCUCGUGCCGUGAGGUGUCGGCUUAAGUGCCAUAACGAGCGCAACCCCCAUCGCCAGUUACCAGCAAGUCAAGUUGGGGACUCUGGCGAGACUGCCGGCGCAAGCUGUGAGGAAGGCGGGGAUGACGUCAAAUCAGCACGGCCCUUACGUCCGGGGCGACACACGUGUUACAAUGGCAGGUACAGAGAGAAGCAAUGCGGCGACGCAAAGCGGAACUUGAAAGCCUGUCUCAGUUCGGAUUGGAGUCUGCAACUCGACUCCAUGAAGCUGGAUUCGCUAGUAAUCGCGCAUCAGCCAUGGCGCGGUGAAUACGUUCCCGGGCCUUGUACACACCGCCCGUCAAGCCAUGGAAGCCGGGAGUGCCUGAAGUGAGCAACCGCAAGGAGCGCCCUAAGGUAAAACUGGUGACUGGGGCUAAGUCGUAACAAGGUAACCGUAA
rnacentral:rRNA from 1 species